GGACGGGUGAGUAACGCGUGAGUAACCUGCCUUGUACUGGGGGACGAACAGUUAGAAAUGACUGCUAAUACCGCAUAAGCGCACAGUAUCGCAUGAUACAGUGUGAAAAACUCCGGUGGUACAAGAUGGACCCGCGUCUGAUUAGCUAGUUGGUAAGGUAACGGCUUACCAAGGCGACGAUCAGUAGCCGACCUGAGAGGGUGACCGGCCACAUUGGGACUGAGACACGGCCCAAACUCCUACGGGAGGCAGCAUG
rnacentral:rRNA from 1 species